rnacentral:rRNA from 1 species
GAUGAACGCUAGCUACAGGCUUAACACAUGCAAGUCGAGGGACCGGCGCACGGGUGAGUAACACGUAUCCAACCUGCCCUUUACUCGGGGAUAGCCUUUCGAAAGAAAGAUUAAUACCCGAUAUAAAGGAUGGGGCUGCGUUCCAUUAGGUUGUUGGUGAGGUAACGGCCCACCAAGCCUUCGAUGGAUAGGGGUUCUGGGAGGAAGGUCCCCCACAUUUGAACGGGGACACGGUCCAAACUCCUACGGGAGGCAGGAGUGAGGAGUAUUGGUCGAUGGGCGUGAGCCUGAACCAGUCAAGGAGCGUGAAGGAGGAAGGCUUCUGGGUCGUAAAAUUUUUUUAUAGAUGAAGAUGUAUUAUAGGAAUAAGGAUCGGCUAACUCCGUGCCAGCAGCCGCGGUAAUAC